rnacentral:tRNA from 1 species
GGCUUUAUAUUCAAAUUAUGAUAUUAGACUGCAAUUCUAAAGGUGUAAGUUAAAUACUAAGGCCU